UACGAAGGGGGCUAGCGUUGUUCGGAAUCACUGGGCGUAAAGGGCGCGUAGGCGGCUGUUCCAAGUCGGGGGUGAAAGCCUGUGGCUCAACCACAGAAUGGCCUUCGAUACUGGACGGCUCGAGACCGGAAGAGGUGAGUGGAACUGCGAGUGUAGAGGUGAAAUUCGUAGAUAUUCGCAAGAACACCAGUGGCGAAGGCGGCUCACUGGUCCGGUUCUGACGCUGAGGCGCUAAAGCGUGGGGAGCAAACAGG
rnacentral:rRNA from 1 species